rnacentral:tRNA from 1 species
GGGGGCGUGGCGAAAUUGGUAGACGCACUGGAUUUAGGUUCCAGCGCCGCAAGGUGUAAGAGUUCGAGUCUCUUCGCACCCCA